rnacentral:rRNA from 1 species
CGGAGAUGUGUAUAAGAGACAGGGGCGAAGCGGCCGGGUAACCGUGCCGUGGACUUCGUGGGAGUGAGAAUGCAGACAUGAGUAGCGAGAGACGGGUGAGGAUCCCGUCCGCUGGAUGACCAAGGGUUCCGGGGCCACGUUCGUCGUCCCCGGGUGAGUCGGGUCCUAAGGCGAGGCCGACAGGCGUAGUCGAAUGGAUGAACGGGUGGAUAUUCCCGUACCGGCAGCGAACCGUCCGAACUGAACGGAUGAGUACUAACCUCCGGUCGCGUGGCGUCGUUCCCUUCGGGGUUCGGGGCGUGCGAUUGUUGGGAAUGUAGUCCUGGUAGGUUAGCGCACAGGGGUGACACGGAAUGGGAGCCGGCCGCGGAGGUGGUUUUCCGUGGUCAAGCACGCAGCCCGUCCCAUAGGCAAAUCCGUGGGACGUGAGGGUGAGGUGCGAUGAUGGGCGUCUUUCAGGCGCGAUAUCCGGUGGUCCAGGCCGUCGAGAAAAGCCUCGGCGCGAGGGGCGUUGCCGCCCGUACCCCAAACCGACACUGGUGGUCAGGUAGAGAAUACCAAGGCGAUCGAGCGAAUCCUGGUCAAGGAACUCGGCAAAUCACUCCCGUGCCUUCGGUAUAAGGGAGACCCCUGAUGGUGAUGGAACUUGCUUCCGGAGCUUUCGGGGGUGGCACAGACCAGGGGGUAGCGACUGUUUACCAAAAACACAGGUGCAUGCGAAGGCGCAAGCCGCUGUAUAUGCACUGACGCCUGCCCGGUGCCGGAAGGUUAAGAGGAUCCGUCAGCCCUCGGGUGAAGCGGUGAAUUCAAGCCCCGGUAAACGGCGGUGGUAACUAUAACCAUCCUAAGGUAGCGAAAUUCCUUGUCGGGUAAGUUCCGACCUGCACGAAUGGCGUAACGACUUGGGCGCUGUCUCAACCAUGGACCCGGUGAAAUUGUAUUAUUCGUGAAGAUGCGAAUUACCUGCGGAAGGACGGAAAGACCCCGUGAACCUUUACUGCAGCUUGGCAUUGGCUGUUGGUGCGGUGCGUAGAGGAUAGGCAGGAGCCUGCGAACCGGGAACGCCAGUUCCCGGGGAGGCGCCCUUGGAAUACUGCCCUCACCGCAUCGGCAGCCUAACGCGCCGCCCUCAUCGGGGGCGCGGACCGUGCCAGGUGGGUAGUUUGACUGGGGCGGUCGCCUCCUAAACUGUAACGGAGGCGUGCGAAGGUUCGCUCAGGGCGGUUGGCAAUCGCCCGCAGAGCACAAGAGUACAAGCGAGCCUGACUGCGAGACCAACAAGUCGAGCAGAGACGAAAGUCGGUUCUAGUGAUCCGGCGGCCCAGCGUGGAAUGGCCGUCGCUCAACGGAUAAAAGGUACUCCGGGGAUAACAGGCUGAUCUUGCCCAAGAGUCCACAUCGACGGCAAGGUUUGGCACCUCGAUGUCGGCUCAUCGCAUCCUGGGGCUGUAGCAGGUCCCAAG